UACGGAGGGUGCAAGCGUUGUCCGGAUUUAUUGGGUUUAAAGGGUGCGUAGGCGGCCCAUUAAGUCAGUGGUGAAAGCCUCCAGCUCAACUGGAGAACUGCCAUUGAUACUGACGGGCUUGAGUACAGACGAGGUUGGCGGAAUUGAUUGUGUAGCGGUGAAAUGCAUAGAUACAAUCAAGAACUCCGAUUGCGUAGGCAGCUAACUAGGCUGUAACUGACGCUGAGGCUCGAAAGCGUGGGGAGCGAACAGG
rnacentral:rRNA from 1 species